ensembl:lncRNA
GGAGUAGUAGAGAGAGAGUAGUAGAGAGAGGGUAGUAGAAAGGGAGUAGUAGAGAGAGAGAGUAGUAGAGAAAGAGUAGUAGAGAGAGAGUAGUAGAGAGAGAGUGGUAGAGAGAGAGAGAAGUAGAGAGAGAGUAGUAGAGAGAGAGUAGUAGAGAGAGAGUAGUAGAGAGAGUAGUAGAGAGAGAGAAGUAGAGAGAGAGUAGUAGAGAGAGUAGUAGAGAGAGAGAGUAGUAGAGAGAGUAGUAGAGAGAGUAGUAGAGAGAGAGAGUAGGAGAGAGAGUAGUAGAGAGAGUAGUAGAGAGAGAGAGUAGGAGAGAGAGAGUAGUAGAGAGAGUAGUAGAGAGAGA